AACGAACGCUGGCGGCAUGCCUAACACAUACAAGUCGAACGAGACCUUCGGGUCUAGUGGCGCACGGGUGCGUAACGCGUGGGAACCUGCCCUUAGGUUCGGAAUAACUCCCCGAAAGGGGUGCUAAUACCGGAUAAUGUCUUCGGACCAAAGAUUUAUCGCCUUUGGAUGGGCCCGCGUUGGAUUAGCUAGUUGGUAGGGUAAAAGCCUACCAAGGCGACGAUCCAUAGCUGGUCUGAGAGGAUGAUCAGCCACACUGGGACUGAGACACGGCCCAGACUCCUACGGGAGGCAGCAGUGGGGAAUAUUGGACAAUGGGCGAAAGCCUGAUCCAGCAAUGCCGCGUGAGUGAUGAAGGCCUUAGGGUUGCAAAGCUCUUUUACCCGGGAUGAUAAUGACAGUACCGGGAGAAUAAGCUCCGGCUAACUCCGUG
rnacentral:rRNA from 1 species